UGAUCAGAGCUGCAUGGGACAGGGACGCUGUGGCCAUCAUCAUCUUCCACACGGGGUCCUAUGAGGGAGAUGCUGUUAAGGGCCUCAGGCUACACACAAGGAAACUGAGGCCCAAGUAAGCGACUUGUUCAAAGUCAUCCUGCUGGUUUACAUUUCUUGAUGAUACAAGCAAUACAUAUCCACCUUUCAAAUUCUGAAAAUCAAUGAAGCACCAAGAUAAAGCACCAGAAGCAGGCACAAGGGACUCCUCCAGCGCGGCCCUUCCAGCAAGUCUGGUUCUAUAUUGUGUAGCACCAGGUUCUCUGGCCAACCUACCAACUACAUGCUGGGCAUCGUAGCCACGAUCCAUUCAGAGUGAAAAUGUAUUCAGAAAAUUUGGCCAACAUGAUGAAUUGAAGGCCUUCGGCCUGCCCCUGGAAGCCUGCAGUCUUCACCUGGAAACGUUGGAGGUCAGAAGUGCGACAUGAGUCUGACCAAGUGAAAAUCAAGAUGUUGGCAGAGCUGUGUUCCUCUCUGGAGGCUCUAGGUAGAAUCUGCUUCUCUGCUCAUUUUGAAUUGUUGACAGAACCCAAGUCCUUGUGGUUGUAGGACUGAACCCCCUGUUUUCUUGCUGGCUAUCAAUUGAGGGCCAUUCCUAGCUUCUAAAGGCUGCUGAUCCCUUGACUUGUGACACCUUCCUCUAUCUCAAAGCCAGCAAUGACCAACUGAGUCCUCACACCACAUCUCCAGCAACUCUUUGCAUCCCUCUUUUGUUUUUAUUAAAAAUUUUUUUAAACAUUUA